GGGAGCCGUAUGAUGCGAAAGUGUCACGUACGGUUUUGAAGACGAGUCAGUGGGGUGACUCACUGACUUAGUUUAAU
rfam:Lyngbya majuscula 3L genomic scaffold scf52118, whole genome shotgun sequence.